AUUUGGAUUCGUUAACCACUGCGCCACAACAGGAACUCCGGAGAAAAAUGUCUCGAUUCUCCUUGCAUCCACUCUCUGAGGAAGGAAGCCUGACCAACAUUUCUGGGUGUCAACUUCUAGGCUUUUUUUGGAUAAAGCUUAUAAAAGCUAUUUGACUGAAAAUUAAAGUGGAUAGAAAUGUGUAUCUCUUUGACCUACUGUGGAAUGUUCUAUUGUUUUAAGGGUUUCUUUUUCAGACUUUCUUCAAAAACCAUCCUUUCGGUUGCUGCUUUAGGAAAUAAAUCAGAACUCUACUGCCUGGACCUGGCGUAAAUGAAUCCGAGGUUCCUAAAUACCGUACUAGAGACAGGCUACCUCGGAAUUCCUUAGAAACUUUAAAGCAGGCAGACUCCAGGCCCCUGAAAAUUCUUGUUCAACGGUCUAAGAAAGAGCCUAGAAGUUAGAACACCCCCGACUGACAACUGUUAGCUGUGUGUCUGCAGCGCGUGGCGUUAGUGGGUGUCCAUCUGGAGGGCGGGGGACACGGGAGUGGCUGUCACAUUGUUGGAAUGCCAUCCCACGGGGAGGGGUUAGCGCUCGGCGGGCUCUGCGGGCCCGGCUGAUGAGUAAGCUCCCAGGAGGCGGAUUUGGGCACAAUAGGAAAGAACUUUGUAACAGGCAGAGCAGCGGAACAGUUGGUCGCAGGGAUGAUGGAACGUGGGCCAGAUUUGGAGUCAGAAGAUGGCAAGAUUGGAUCAGAGGCCUCUGCGGGGUCAAGGAGAAGGCCACGGACGUGCCUCGGCUCGGCCUUUCUCCAUCCGUGGACUCUGAGAUACCCCUGCGCUUUCCCCCAGCUGGACUUAGCGCCCUCGGCUAGUGGUCCUCAGCAAAGGGGGAUCCUCCCCUCCUCCCAGGGGGGUUUGGCCAUGUUUGCUUGUCGUGAUUGGGGAGGGUGCUAUUUGCAUCCAGUGCCUAGAAGCAGGUGCUGCCCAUCAUUCUACGUUCACCGGGACGACCCCCCAGCAAAGAACCACCCAGCUCCAAGUGGUAGCAGGGCAGGUUGAGAACCCGUCUAGGCGACUCACGGGGGUUGUCAUGCAGGGUAAAUUCCAGUUGCCACCCUGCCCUUCCCAUCUACCAGCAGGGUGAUCCCCGCCUCCUCUGCCUCCACGGUCUCGCCCCUCAGAUGGGUGGACUUGAAUUUACAGAGCAUCAGAUACGCGCCAGACUCUGAGCCACAUCCUCGCGUUCUGUCCGCCUUCUCCCAGGAGCCGCCCCAGAGACAAGGAGCUCGUAUUUCACUUCGGCAGGUUCAGGGGGCUUCCGGGUGUCUACACCAACACCUCAGCUCGGAUGCAGAGCCAAGCCGCUGGAGCACUCAGGUGUGUCUGAGGGAUGUGAGCGACCUGGUACCGUUUCUUUACACAAGGCUGAGAAGUGAGACAUCUGGCAGAGCGCCUGGUGCCAAGAAGGUCAUCCAUCAUUUCGAAAUGGCAGCCCAUCUGCUCCACAAGGGAAGGUGACCUCGGCCUCACCGGCCAUGGCCUCUGGAGAGAACAGAGGCUUCCUUCUCCAAGUGGAGACCCCAACCUGAUGGCCUUUCCUCACUAGUUCCAGGGCUUCCCCCUCAGUGGGCAGGCGUUCCCCGGAGACCACGACGGUGACUCGAUUAGCCGCUUCAUCACUUCCUACCACGUGUUGGAGCCCGUGGAAGAGCCGACUCCCCAGAGGGCAAAUACGUGUGGAGGCAGAAUUCUAAAGUACAGCGUCCCCUUCAAAGACCAGAUAAGGGACUUGUGCAUUAACCAUCUUCUUCUGUAAACAGCAGCUCUGUGUCCUAAGGACACCCCGUCGUCGAUAUCCCUAGAGAAGAUAAUCUCAUCAUUGCCUAUGCCAGUCCCUGCCCGCGAAUCUUGUCACCUUCAUUAAGGCCAUUAAUAAUAAUCUCAUCACCUUCCUUAAUAAAAAUCAUGUGGGCUAAAGCCUAGGCCCUUUGUUCUGCAGAGCAGAGGGCCUCCUGGUCCCCCACGUUCGGGAUGUAA